AUUUAUUGUAUCAAAUUACACAAUUUUAAUUGUAUUGUCCGGAAAUUCCAUCCAUCACUAUGUGGCCAUUCCUGAGUUGAUUAGAAGCGUGCUGUGAGAGAUAGCUAAUUAGUCUUUCUCCAUAUUAGCGUCUGAAUGGCUAGCCUUGCCCUGACCUCUCUGGAAACACAUCAAAAUGCGCAGGGGUCCCUCCGCUGACCUAUAUGUGUGUGCACGCUAGUGUGUGUGUGUAUGCAUAGCCAUGUCUACGCUCAGCUCAUCUGCUUGCGCUGCCCGGCCCGUGUGUGCUGCAGCGUAUGCACUCUUGCUCAUCGUCUCCUCACCUCAAUUUACCGUGAGAGUGCUCAUUGGGAGAAAAACACUUAACAGGACGAAGGUCGGUGCAAGUGGAGAGAUGUACUGUCAACCCUCAUGGCACUCGUGAACAUUUUUCCUGUAGCAAGGUGUUAAUUUGGAAAUCUUUGAAAGCUAUAACUCGCUCCGUCUUCAGUGUGUGAUAGUUUGAGUACUUCUGCACAGAAUUACACCUUUAACUUUC